rnacentral:rRNA from 1 species
ACUACGGGAGACUGCAGUGGGGAAUAUUGCGCAAUGGGCGAAAGCCUGACGCAGCGACGCCGCGUGAGGGAUGAAGGUCUUCGGAUCGUAAACCUCUGUCAGCAGGGAAGAACGGUCACUGUGCUAAUCAGCAGUGAAUUGACGGUACCUUCAAAGGAAGCACCGGCUAACUCCGUGCCAUCAGCCGCGGUAAUACGGGGGGUGCGAGCGUUAAACGGAAUUAAUUGGCGUAAAGCGCUCGUAGGCGGUAGGUCAACUCAAGGGUGAAAUCCCCGCGCGCAACGUGGGAACUGCCUUUGAAACUGGCAAACUGGAGUGUGUGAGAGGAGAGUGGAAUUCCAGGUGUAGGAGUGAAAUCCGUAGAUAUCUGGAGGAACAUCAGUGGCGAAGGCGACUAUCUGGCACAUAACUGACGCUGAGGAGCGAAAGCGUGGGUAGCAAACAGGAUUAGAUACCCUAGUAGU